rnacentral:rRNA from 1 species
UGAUACGCGAGGAACCUUACCUGGGCUCGAACGUAAGAUGACUGUAGGUGAAAGCUUACAUCUCUUCGGAGCAUUUUACGAGGUGCUGCAUGGUUGUCGUCAGCUCGUGCCGUGAGGUGUCGGGUUAAGUCCCAUAACGAGCGCAACCCUACCUUUAGUUGCCAUCAGGUAAUGCUGGGGACUCUAAAGGAACUGCCUACGCAAGUAGUGAGGAAGGCGGGGAUGACGUCAAAUCAGCACGGCCCUUACGUCCAGGGCUACACACGUGCUACAAUGGCCGAUACAGAGGGCAGCUACCUGGUGACAGGAUGCAAAUCUCCAAAGUCGGUCUCAGUUCGGAUCGGAGUCUGCAACCCGACUCCGUGAAGUUGGAUUCGCUAGUAAUCGCGCAUCAGCCAUGGCGCGGUGAAUACGUUCCCGGGCCUU